rnacentral:sRNA from 1 species
AUCUGAUCGUAAGUAGUUGGCUUUAUAAGGUCAGAUAUGCCGUGGUUUUACACGGCUUUUU